rnacentral:lncRNA from 1 species
AUGUUCCUUAGUUGUAUUCAACCAACUUUAUCAGCAAACGGAGAACACAUCCAUCUCCCAGAGUGGAGCCACAGAAGACAUGCUCAGCGGAGAGAGACAAAAGGGAGUGAAUACCAGUGCUUACCUAUCUUUGUAAGAAUACAGUCUUACAAAUGUAAGACUGUCUCCUUGCCUCUAGGCAGACACACAUAUAAAGAGAAGCAGUCUUAUGAGGGUAAAUCAUAAUGAGGGAAAUUACAUGAACGCACACCCAGAGCAUCAUACAAGCUAGGACAGAGUCACUGUGGAUAUGGGAAAGUGGCUCACCAGUCUAAGCAGUGCAGAGGUGUGGAUUGCUUAGGAAAAUGCCCUCAGGUAAUUUGUCUCAAGGCUGGCACUGGAAAUUUAGCUUGAGUUUUCAUGUACCUUAGCAAGACUCUUUCAUGGUGUCUGCAUGUCACUUUAACAUGACUUUGAAUAUCUAAUUUAUUUAAAUGUUGAGUUUAGAGGUCAUUCUUUCCCACUGUAAUGAUGGACUGACUAUAUGUAUUCCUUCAAAUCCUGAGCCAAAAUAAGCCCUUUAUAAGUUGCUUCUCUUAGGUAUUUGGUCAUACUGACAAAAAAGACAGAAAUACAACAUAUGAGCAUACAGGAUCUACUCAGACUUCAUAGAAAGUUCUACUAAAUGGUUUCAAGCUCAUUCCUUAUCUUUUUUAUUAUAUGUAUUUAUUUUGUGUGUUUGCCUAUGUACAUACAUGUACUAUGCAUACAUUGCACUCGUGUCAAGAAGACAAUGUGUGGGAGUUGGAUCUUUCCUUCCAGCAAGUGGUUCCCUGCGAUCAAACUUAGGCCAUCAGGUUUGUUUGAAAUGUAAGUGCUGACCCUAGGGUAUUGUUUUAUUUUACAAUUUUUUUUUAAAAUUUUUUGAGACAGGGUUUCUCUAUGGCUUUGGAGGCUGUCCUGGAACUAGCUCUUGUAGACCAGGCUGGUCUCGAACUCACAGAGAUCCUCGUGCCUCUGCCUCCGGAGUGCUGGGAUUAAAGGCUUGUGCCACCACCGCCUAGCUCAAUGAUGUGUUUUUUAAAGUUAGAUUUAAUAGUACAUGUAUAAUUUAAGCUUUGUUAAGGAACCUUGGUAGAUCCAUGUAAAUCUGAUUUGUUUGUGGGAGGUAAGGAUGAGAGGGAAGGAGUUAAGAUGGGGUCUCAUGUAGCCCUGGCUAUCGUGAACUUCCUAUGUAGAAGAGGCUGGCACUCAUCUUCCUGCCUCCUGCUACUGGGAAUAUAGAUGUGGGGUACCAUAUCCAGCCUUGGAUAUAAUCCUUGAAUCUGUUUAAGGAGAAGCAGUGAUGGUAGUAAAUUUUUUGUUUUCUCCCAAGGCCAGGAUGCUGCUGACCCUAAAGCUCAAAACUCUGCUAUGUUUAUGUUUUAGUAAUCCAAGUGGCUUUUUGCAAGCAAGUUCCUUUAUUUCCACUGAACUCUCUCUGAACACCUUGGAUUAAAAUUUCCUUGUUUAAGUUUGUGCUCAGAUUCCUUUGUGACAUUUGGGGGGAAAACCAAACGCUUCUGUUUGCCUUUUUAGAAAUGAGGUUUGAGAAUCAUAUUCAAAAGCAUCCACCUUAGCCUGUAGACAUUUAAGUCAUAGGGCGCCAUGAGUCAUUAUGUCAUGUUAGAACCUGCAUUUCCAAACGAUGCCUGACCUAGUUUCUGAAUCACAGCAGGUAUUCAGGAGAUGUUGGUGAAUGACCGAGGCGGCACCUCAGGAUCUAAGGACAGUCCAUCUAAGAAAGCUUUGUCUUUUCUGAACAGGGUGCUGCUAUGCAGCUAGUGGAGCGAAAGCCAAGAAGAUCUAAUCUUAGCACUGGCUGGGCAUAGAAGGAAAGGGGACACCUUUGGCUACCAGAUAUUAAGGUCAGACUAUAAGAGCUGAUGUUUCAUUAGGAAGCAAAUAUACAAUUAGCCAUUGCAUUAUCAAUGUGUGAGUGGUAAGGUGUACCAGCUGUCUCAUUCCAGCCUGGUCCAGUUCUUUAUUACUUAUAUUGCUGCUCCUCAGAAUUAUGAAUAGUAUGUAUUUGCUUCUAACAGUGCUGAUUUUUACUGAAAAUUUAGAUGUACACUGUAACACUAUGUCAUAGAGUAUGGGGGAACUAAAUACAAAAUCCUCCCUCCUCCCUGCCUCAUCAGAGUAAGAUUCAUCUUUUUGGGUCAAUACAAGGAAGUGGAGUAGGAAAUAAGGUUUUAAGAGUUAGACAAGCCGGGGUGGUGGUGCUGCACGCCUUUAGUCCCAGCACUCGGGAGGCAGAGGCAGGUGGAUCUCUGUGAGUUCGAGGCCAGUCUGGUCUAUAAAGCUACACAGAGAAACCUUGUCUCAAAAAACCGGAAAAGAGGGAGGGGGUAUGUCUAUGUGUCUUGAUCGUGUUUUUCUCAGCUAAUUAAAGAAAUAAAAGGCAAGGAAAAUCUGACA